rfam:Zea mays cultivar B73 chromosome 2, whole genome shotgun sequence.
AUGCCUUUCUCGACUUUUUGGUUAAGAUAAAGUGUAGUAUAUGCAGUUUAAUAUCUGGCAUGUGGGUCAUAUGCCCACUUUAAUUUUAAUUUUACUUUAUGGGGAGGGUCCACUUUAAUUUUAAAUUUAUUUUUUUGUCGGGAGGGUCUAUCACAUUGAUUUGCCACUGGACCGAUGAUUGACAUACCGUGC